UACGUAGGGGGCAAGCGUUGUCCGGAUUUAUUAGGCGUAAAGAGCGUGUAGGCGGUUUGGUAGGUCCGUUGUGAAAACUCGAGGCUCAACCUCGAGACGCCGAUGGAAACCAUCAGACUAGAGUCCGGAAGAGGAGAGUGGAAUUCCUGGUGUAGCGGUGAAAUGCGCAGAUAUCAGGAAGAACACCCGUGGCUAAGGCGGCUCUCUAGUACGGUACUGACGCUGAGACGCGAAAGCGUGGGGAGCAAACAGG
rnacentral:rRNA from 1 species